CUCACCGUGAGGUUAUUAACAACGUUACAUAGAUAGCUAAAAUACUGCUUUGCUCUUUGCAGCUGAUAAGUAACACAUUUCCGCAUAUAAGCCAAUGGAUUUACUUGACAAAGUCAUGCUGGAAAUAUUAAAAGUUGAAAAUGUUACAGAAGAUCUUCUAGGGACUCUUUCAUGUAAAGAUCUGAACAUUUCCUUUGAAGAAAACCUCAUGGCCAGCAGUACAUCAAGAGGAGCUGCAGUUUUCUGUGCAGCAAGAUAACUUACCAGACAGCUGUACAUCUCCCUCCUUUCUGAAUGCAAUACUCUAAAAAAUGCCAGUCUUUCACCUACCCCUCAAUCCAGUGAGCAAGGAUGUUCCAGAAAACUUUUAAGAGAAGCCAGCCCCUCUAAAAUCAUUCAACUCCCAUGCCCCGAAUACAUACUUCAUAGUGACAGUGAGUUGGAGCAGGUUAGAAAACAUUACUUUGAACUGUAGCACAUAGGGAAAGAGGAGCAUUGUAUUCUUUCAAAGGAUCUGCACUGUAGAUUAA